rnacentral:rRNA from 1 species
UACGUAGGGACCAAGCGUUGUUCGGAUUUACUGGGCGUAAAGGGCGCGUAGGCGGCAAUUCAAGUCACUUGUGAAAUCUCUGAGCUUAACUCAGAACGGUCAAGUGAUACUGCUUUGCUAGAGUGCAGAAGGGGCAACCGGAAUUCUUGGUGUAGCGGUGAAAUGCGUAGAUAUCAAGAGGAACACCGGAGGUGAAGACGGGUUGCUGGGCUGACACUGACGCUGAGGCGCGAAAGCGUGGGGAGCGAACAGG